rnacentral:piRNA from 1 species
UGCCCGUUUUUCUCCAGCCUGGUCA